rnacentral:lncRNA from 1 species
CAAUAUGCCAAGGGAAGCUUAUCAGAGUCAGGGCAACCAAGCUGGGCCUCCAGGUGCCAGAGAUACCCCGUAGUCAGCGGUCCUGGGAAGAUGUCUGCUCAUCGGAGAGGAUGUGGACUUCAUUUGAGUGGAGACUGAUUGAAGAUUAACCAGCUCCACAGCUUCAUGGGCCAUGCUGCCUCAGGACAUGAGAAAACGAAGGACCCUUCGGAUGUUUAUUCACUUCACCUCGUAGGCGCACCACAGGAGGAAGACGUGGUGUCAGCAGACCCGAGAAUCCAGUCCACGUGAUAAUCAUAUUUCUCACGGAUGGUUUCAUCCAUACCGCUAGAUCAUUGAAUUGUCACCGUUAGACAUCACCUGUUAACUCCAGUUAAGGUAGGCAAUGUUUUAGCUCUGUAUACCUUCUCAGCCCUUCUUCCUUCCCACAACAUAGUGACAUAACUAUUUUUUAAUUUAUCUUACUUUAGUGAAAAUACGUAAACCCCUCUUUCUUGUUUUGUCAACUCUGAUUUCUCACUUUCUAAGUUAAGGAUAUCAGAUAGACCUCUGCUCCUCUGCUGUUCUCUCGGC